CUGUACCUGUCUUCAGACACACCAGAAGAGGGCAUCAGAUCCCAUUACAGAUGGUUGUGAGCCACCAUGUGGUUGCUGGGAAUUGAACUCAGGACCUCUGGAAGAGCAGUCAGUGCUCUUAACCACUGAGCCAUCUGUCCAGCCUGUGUGUUUCAUUUUUUAUUCUUUUUUAAAAAAAUUAUUUUUCGUGGAUAUUUUAUGUAUUUACAUUUCAAAUUUUAUCUAUCCCCUUUCUCUCCUCUCCAAUACUCCCUUGUGCCUUCUCCUGAUUCUAUGAGGAUGCUCCUACUCCCACUUACCCACUCCAACCUCAAAAACCCUGGCAUUCCCCUACACUGGGGAAAGGAGCCUUCACAGGACCAAGGGCCUUUCCUCCUACUGAUGCUGGACAAUGCCAUCCUCUACUACACAUGCGUCUGGAGUCAUGGAUUCCUCCAUGUAUACUCUAAGGUUGAUAGUUUAGUCUCUGGUAGCUCUGGUGGGAUUUGAUUGUUUGAUAUUGUUGUUCUUCCUAUGGAGUUGCAAACCUUUUAGCGCCUUCAGUCCUUCUCUAACUCCUCCACUGGGGUCCCUGUGCUCAGUCCAAUGGUUAACUGCAAGCAUCCUCAUCUGUAUCAGUACGGUUUUAGCAGAACCUCUCAGGAGACAUCCAUAUCUGGUUCCUGUCAGCAAGCAUUUCUUGGCAUCAGCAAUAGUGACUGGGUUUGGUGAUGGAUAUGGGAUGGAUCCCCAGGAGGGGCAGUCUCUAGAAGACCUUUCCUUCAGUCUCUGCUCUACUCCUUGUCCCUGUAUUUCCUCCUGUGAAUAUUUUGUUCUCCCUUCUGAGAAGGACUGAAGCAUCCACAUUUUUGUUUUCUUUCUUCUUGAGUUUUAUAUGAUUUACGAAUUGUUUCUUGGGUAUUCCAAACUUUUGGGCUAAUAUCCACAUAUCGGUGAGUACAUACCAUGUGUGUUCUUUCGUAACUGGGUUACCUCCUUCAGGAUGAUAUUGUCUAGUUCCAUCCAUUUGCCUAUGAAUUUCAUGAAGUCAUUGUUUGUGAUAGUUGAGUAUUACUCCAUUGUGUAAAUGUACCACAUUUUCUGACCGCAAGUUGAACCAUCACCAUUUGUUGAAAAUGCUGUGUUUUUUCCACUGGAUAGUUUUAGCUCCUUUAUCAAAGAUCAAGUAACCAAAGGUUCAUUUCUGGGACUUCAGUUCUAUUCCAUUGAUGUACUUGCCUGCUUUUAUUACACACACAGUUUUUAAUCAGGAUUGCUCCAUAAUACAGCUUGAAGUCAGGGAUGGUGAUUUCCCUCAGAAGUUCUUUUAUUGGUCAGAAUAGUUUUCACUAUCCUGGGUUUUUUGUUGUUCCAAAUAAAUUUGCAAAUUUCUCUUUCCAACUCUAUGAAGAAUUGAGCUGGAAUUUUGAUGGGGAUUGCAUUGAAUCUGUAGAUUGCUUUUGGCAAGAUGGCCAUUUUUACUAUAUUAAUCCUGUCAGUCCACGAGCAUUGGAGUCUUUCUAUCUUCUGAGAUUUUCUUCGAUUUCUUUCUUCAGAGACUUGAAGUUCUUGUCAUACAGUUCUUUCACUUGCUUGGUUAGAGUCACACCAAGGUAUUUCAUAUUAUUUGUGACUAUUGCAAAGAGUGUCAGUUCCCUAAUUUCUUUCUCAGUCUGUUUAUCCUUUGUGUAAAGGAAGGAUACUGAUUUGUUUGAGUUAAUUUUAUAUUCAGCUACUUUGUGAAGUUUUCGAGUUUAGGAAUUCUCUGGUGUAAUUUUUUUUGGGCUCACUUAAGUAUACUAUCACAUCAUCUUCAAAUAGUGAUAUGUUGACGUCUUCUUUCCAAUUUGUAUCCCUUUGACCUCUUUUUGUUGUCUAAUUCCUCUGGCUGGGACUUUGAGUACUAUAUUGAAUAGGUAGGUAGAGAGUGAGCAGCCUUGUCUAGUCCCUGAUUUUAGUGGCAUUGCUUCAAGUUUCUCUCCAUUUAGCUUGGUGUUGGCUACUGGUUUGCUGUAUAUGGCUUUUACUAUGUUUAGGUAUGGGCCUUGAAUUCCUGAUCUUUUCAAGACUUUUAACAUGAAGGGGUGUUGAAUUUUGUCAAAUGCUUUCUCAUCAUCUAAUGAGAUGAUCAUGUGGGUUUUUUUUUUUCCUUUGAGUUUGUCUAUAUAGUAGAUUACGUCGAUGGACUUCCACAUAUUGCACCAUUCCUGCAUCCCGGAGAUGAAGCCUCCAUUAUCGUGAUAUCCUCAGCCUUUCAAAGUACAUACAUGUGGAGAGAUGAGAGUCUGGACAGAGGCAUAAGGCACAGCUGGAAGCAGAAUUAUCUGGAAAAGUUCUGCUGGUAAGAUCUGUCUACGGCUAUGUUUCAAUAGAAGGUUGUAGAAUCCUGAGUGUUCUCAUUGGCACGAAAACAACAAAGCCACGCUUCUUUGACAAGGGAUCUCCUUUUCCUGUGGUCCUCCCCUUUCUGUGGAUGACCAUUUCUGCAUGGGUAGCUCCUUAAAAGUGAGUUUUAGUUCCCCUCUUCCAGAUACCUAAGUCCUACCCUCCA